GUAGUCUCGCACAGAUGCAUAUCAAUAAGCGGAGGAAAAGAAACUAACAAGGAUUCCCCUAGUAACGGCGAGUGAAGCGGGAAGAGCUCAAAUUUGAAAUCUUAAAGGGUUUCCCUUUACGAAUUGUAGUUUAAAGAAGUGUUUUCUGUUGAGGUUUUGGUAAAAGUUCUUUGGAAUAGGACAUCAUAGAGGGUGAGAAUCCCGUAUUUGACCUUUACUUUCAACUUUGUGAUACACUUUCAAAGAGUCGGAUUGUUUGGGAAUGCAGUCCAAAAUGGGUGGUAAAUUUCAUCUAAAGCUAAAUAUUAGGCGAGAGACCGAUAGCGAACAAGUACCGUGAGGGAAAGAUGAAAAGAACUUUGAAAAGAGAGUUAAACAGUACGUGAAAUUGUCAAAAGGGAAGCGUUUGACACCAGUGUUGUUUUUCUGAAAAUCAAUUAAAGAACUGUUUAUGCUAAGCUGUUUAGACUUUAUCAGCUAAUCUGUUUAGUUUUGAGCUUUUCUUUAAUGCACUUUUCAGUUAACAAGUCAACAUCAAUUUCUUUUGCUGUAAAAAAGCUCGAGGAAGGUGGCUUGAGAUUCGUCUUAAGUGUUUAUAGCCUCUUGCCUAUGCAGUCGGAGAGAUUGAGGUCUGCAGCGUAGAUCCUUCGGGGCUAAAUGCAUUUGUGCUAAGUUAUAGCAUUUUAUAGACAACUUGUUGACUAUGAUUUGUCUUGUAGCUUACUCGCUUAUGUUAUUUUACCUACGCUUAGGAUGUUGAAGACUCUACAGAGAUA
rnacentral:rRNA from 1 species